rnacentral:rRNA from 1 species
GGCCAGACUCCUACGGGAGGCAGCAGUGGGGAAUAUUGCACAAUGGGGGAAACCCUGAUGCAGCGACGCCGCGUGAGUGAAGAAGUAUUUCGGUAUGUAAAGCUCUAUCAGCAGGGAAGAAAAUGACGGUACCUGACUAAGAAGCCCCGGCUAACUACGUGCCAGCAGCCGCGGUAAUACGUAGGGGGCAAGCGUUAUCCGGAUUUACUGGGUGUAAAGGGAGCGUAGACGGCAUGGCAAGUCAGAUGUGAAAGCCCGGGGCUCAACCCCGGGACUGCAUUUGAAACUGUCAGGCUGGAGUGCAGGAGAGGUAAGUGGAAUUCCUAGUGUAGCGGUGAAAUGCGUAGAUAUUAGGAGGAGCACCAGUGGCGAAGGCGGCUUACUGGACUGUAACUGACGUUGAGGCUCGAAAGCGUGGGGAGCAAACAGGAUUAGAUACCCGAGUAA